UACGUAGGGACCGAGCGUUGUCCGGAAUCAUUGGGCGUAAAGAGCGUGUAGGCGGCCUUUUAAGUCCUGCGUGAAAUCCUGCGGCUCAACCGCAGACGGUCGUGGGAAACUGGAAGGCUAGAGUGCGGGAGAGGAGAGUGGAAUUCCCGGUGUAGCGGUGAAAUGCGCAGAUAUCGGGAAGAACACCCGUGGCGAAGGCGGCUCUCUGGAACGCAACUGACGCUGAGACGCGAAAAGCGUGGGGGAGCAAACAGG
rnacentral:rRNA from 1 species